AGUCGUCCUGGUCAAAGGGAUCUUCGAUGGACACCACUGGGUAGUUCUGGACGAAGGACUUGUACAGAUCAGCCAGCUGGUCGGGCGUGAUGUACCUGCUGGGGUCAUCCGGAGACUUGAAGUCCAGGUCAUACUUGCCAGACCUGUAGAACUCGGAGGCAGCCACAUCCAUGCCGAUGACAACCUGGUCAGUGUAGCCGGCCUUUGCGAUUGCAGUCUUGAGCAGCUCCAGUGCUUCUUUGUUCUCCAGGAUGUUAGGUGCGAAUCCACCCUCAUCACCCACAUUGGUGGCGUCCUUCCCGUACUUCUCCUUGAUCACGUUCUUCAGGUUGUGGUAAACCUCUGCUCCAAUGCGCAUGGCUUCCCGGAAGCUGGAUGCCCCCACAGGCAGGAUCAUGAACUCUUGCAUGGCCAGCUUGUUGCCAGCAUGAGAACCACCGUUGAUCACAUUGAAAGCCGGGACAGGCAGGAUGACUUCAGGGUUGCCGGCCAAGUCAGCAAUGUGGCGGUAAAGGGGCACCCCCUUUUCCACGGCACCAGCUUUGCAGACAGCCAGGGACACUCCCAGGAUGGCAUUUGCACCAAAUUUAGAUUUAUUCUCUGUGCCGUCCAUCUCGAUCAUCAGCUUGUCAAUCUUCUCUUGCUCCACAACAUUCACUUUCUUGCUAACCAGAGCAGGCGCAAUAGUUUUAUUGAUGUGCUCAACAGCCUGUGAGACACCCUUCCCCAUGAAGCGGGUCUUAUCAUUGUCUCGGAGUUCUAGGGCCUCGUAGAUGCCAGUGGACGCACCGCUGGGCACCGCAGCUCGGAAGAGACCUUUUGCGGUGUACAGAUCGACCUCAACAGUGGGAUUCCCACGGGAGUCAAAGAUCUCUCUGGCGUGGAUCCUGAGAAUAGACAUGGCGAAUUUCUGGCAGUAGGAUCGCUGCAAAGCAAGGAAAGAGGGUCUAGAAAAUAUUUUUAUCAGCUGGUAGGAUUGCUUGACUGCUUUUUAGGUUUGUGUACUUAUGUAAUUAUACUCCUGUAAAAGCUAAAAUAGAACCUCUCUAAAUUAAAUUUUUCUCUGCUACAUUAAAUUUUUCAAAAACAUUCUUUC
rnacentral:lncRNA from 1 species